rnacentral:rRNA from 1 species
GGAUUAGAUACCCUGGUAGUCCACGCCGUAAACGAUGCUAACUCGUUUUUGGGUUUUCGGAUUCAGAGACUAAGCGAAAGUGAUAAGUUAGCCACCUGGGGAGUACGUUCGCAAGAAUGAAACUCAAAGGAAUUGACGGGGGCCCGCACAAGCGGUGGAUUAUGUGGUUUAAUUCGAUGAUACGCGAGGAACCUUACCAAGACUUAAAUGGGAAUUGACAGAUUUAGAAAUAGAUCCUCCUUCGGGCAAUUUUCAAGGUGCUGCAUGGUUGUCGUCAGCUCGUGCCG